AAAGAGAUGCCCAUCUUUAGCUUUGUUUCCCGCUUUAAUGGCCGACCUUAACACCUAAAUGACAAUAAAAGACCUCGCUCUCGCUCUGCAGCAUCUGUCUUCUCCCUCCAUAGCUCAAAAAAUCUGUUUUUGUAUACUUGUCAAGCUAGCUUCCAUCCAUGUCCAGCUCAGCUCUACUGAUCCUUUGUCCUCUUCUCCGUCUUCCUCACCCGUGAGGGUUUGAUCUCAUCUCCUCCAGAAACCCUACAAUCUGGGAUUUAAGGUCCAAAUCAUUGCCACUAGGCUCCGAACCCUAUCAUUUUGUUGAGCAAGCUAGAAAGCCGCAAUGUUCGAAGUUCAUUGAGCUUGCAUCGAUCUGGUAUGCUUUUGUCUCCACAAUAGCUGGCUUGUAGCUCUCUCCAUUGCUUAAGGGAGAACAAAGAAGAGAUUUUUCUGCAAUUUUCCGGUUUGAAUUGAUAAUGGCCUGGAGAUGUUACUCCUCUUACUUUCUAGUACUGUUGUUGAUAGUUUUGAUCUUGGUUCCGCCAUCAAGCCAGCUGCAAUCUUCGCAGGCAGGAGCUCUUCUCAGACUCAAGCAUCUGCUAAAUUUUCCAUUUGUUUUAACUAGCUGGGAUGGAAGUACUGAUUUCUGCAAUGCUGAACCGAAUCCAUCAGUAACUGUGGUAUGCUAUGAGGAGAGCAUAACGCAAUUACAUAUCAAUGGGAACAUCAGUUCUCCUAGGUUACCGGCGAGUUUCUCCAUUGAUUCCUUCUUCACCACACUUACAAGGCUCCCUAACCUGAAAGUCCUCUCCUUGACUUCCCUUGGAUUAUGGGGUCCAAUUCCUGCAAAGAUUUCAAGGUUAUCUUAUUUGGAGAUUUUGAAUAUGAGCUCAAAUUUGUUGGAUGGAACAAUUCCAGCCGAAAUUUCUCAUUUGAAGAAUCUUCAGACCUUGAUUCUGGAUCAUAACCAUAUUGAUGGAAGAUUACCAGAUUGGAUUGGCUCUUUUCCUCGUCUAGCAGUGUUGAGUGUAAAGAACAAUUCUUUGAAUGGCCCUCUGCCAGUUUCAUUGAGUAGCAUGGAGUCACUCAGACUGCUUGUGCUCUCAUUCAAUGCUUUCUCUGGACUUUUGCCUGAUCUUAGCGGUUUAUCCAAUCUUCAAGCUCUUGAUUUAGAGAGCAACUUCUUUGGCCCUGAGUUCCCAAGUUUGAACAGGAAGUUGGUUAAGAUUUUCAUGAGAAACAACAGCUUUACAGGGGGAAUCCCUUCUGAAAUCGGUUCUUACUACUAUCUGCUUCAGCAACUAGAUAUUUCUUCGAAUAGGUUUGUUGGGCCUUUCAUGCCAUCACUGUUGUCUCUCCCUUCAAUUCAGUAUAUCAAUAUAUCGGGAAAUAGGUUUACUGGUAUGCUUUUUCCAAAUGAAUCAUGCAAUGGUGAACUAAAAGUUGUAGAUUUAUCAUCUAAUUUGUUGACUGGUAGCCUUCCAACAUGUCUGAGUUCAAGAUCGAUGGACAUGAGUGUGCUAUACUGUGGAAAUUGUUUGGCAAACAAAGAUCAGGUUCAGCACCCAAAUACCUUCUGUCAGAAUCAAGCUUUUGCUGUUGAUUUGUCGUCUCGAAAGGGGAAGAAGGCGUCGAUUCAUAAAGCAAUAGUUGCUGUAAGUGUGGUGGGAAGUGUUGUGGUAGCUCUCAUUGUGGCUUUCCUGUUGUUUGCCACCAUAAGAAGAGAUUCUAACAGCCUUAUGAACAAACCUCCAAGAAGGCUAAUUGAGCAUGCUUCAAAUGGCUUCCCUUCAAAACUUCUAGCCGACGCUAGGUAUAUCUCUCAAACAAUGAAGUUGGGAGCACUUGGUAUUCCUUCCUAUCGAUCGUUUUCUUUGGACGAGCUUGAGGCAGCCACGAACAACUUUGAUACAUCGACUUACAUUGGUGAAGGCUCUCUUGGUCAGAUGUACAGAGGAAAGCUCAGAGAUGGUUCACUCAUUGCAAUAAGAUGCUUAAAACUGAAAAAGCAACACACUUCCCAGAACUGUAAUCGACAUAUCGAGCUGAUUUCAAAGCUCAGACAUCAACACUUGGUUAGUGCUCUCGGCCACUGCUUUGAGUAUUACCUUGAAGAUUCUAGUGUCAGCACAUUAUUUCUCAUUUUCGAGUAUGUGUCGAAUGGAACCCUUAGAAGCAACAUUUCAGGACAAAAGCUCACAUGGUCACAAAGAAUAGGGGCUGCCAUUGGCGUGGCAAAGGGCAUCCAGUUUCUGCAUGCAGGAAUUAUUCCCGGUUUGUUUGGAAAUAAUCUGAAAAUAACAAAUGUACUCCUGGAUCAUAACCUUGUUGCAAAAAUCAGCAGCUAUAAUCUUCCAGUGCUAGCUGAGAUAAAAGCUGAGUUUUGUGGAUUCAUGCAGGUCAUGACUGGAACUUCUUCUGGAUCCAAGGAGAACACCAGAAGAACAUUGUACGAAGAAAAGAUCGACAUCUAUGAUUUUGGUAUCAUUUUAUUGGAAAUCAUCUCUGGAAGGCCAAUUACAACUUCGAGUGACGCUAAACUAUUGAAGGACCAGUUACAAGGAAGUAUAACUGCUGAUGAUGCUGUGAGGAAAAUAAGUGUUGUUGAUCCAGCAGUUCAAAAGGCCUGUUGUGGCGAAUCACUGAAGACCGUAAUAGAAAUAUGCAUUCGAUGCUUAUCUGAUGAGCUUGCGGACAGACCUUCGGUUGAAGAUGUGCUCUGGAACUUGCAGUUUGCGGCUCAAGUGCAAGAAGCAUGGAGGGGAGAUUCUAAUAGCAGUGAAGAUUCGCCGUUAUCACCACGUACACCGGCAUUAAGAAGCUCUAAAGACUAGGGACUGACAUCACUGUAACAUAUCUGAAUUUCAUUUCCUUCCAAGAAGCUAUCUGUUCAAAUGGGAGACUGAAAAGCCUGAAACGAGAGUUGCAGAGUAAACUUCAAGUUUAUUUAUGUGGCCAUGAAAACUAGUUUAGCGCUAUGUACAAAGGAGAAAAUUUUACGCACGGACACCGUACUUCUGUACAGCCAACUGCCGGACGCCACAUCGCACACGUCGGCGCUGGGCUACGUGGCACUCGACAGUUGGCCGUUCGAACGUGCGGAAAACUGCCCAUGUAUACAGUGCAAGGUUUUGCAAGUUUUCUGAUGUAAUUCCUUCUAACUAAUGUAUCCUAUGAAUGUAUUCCAAAAUUUCAAGCUUAUUGGUAUCUUUCUUCUUUUUGCACA